rnacentral:rRNA from 1 species
GACGAACGCUGGCGGCGUGCCUAAUACAUGCAAGUAGAACGCUGAAGGAGGAGCUUGCUUCUCUGGAUGAGUUGCGAACGGGUGAGUAACGCGUAGGUAACCUGCCUGGUAGCGGGGGAUAACUAUUGGAAACGAUAGCUAAUACCGCAUAAGAGUAGAUGUUGCAUGACAUUUGCUUAAAAGGUGCAAUUGCAUCACUACCAGAUGGCCAUGCGUUGUAUUAGAUAGUUGGUGGGGUAACGGCUCACCAAGGCGACGAUACAUAACCUACCUGAGAGGGAGAUCGGCCACACUGGGACUGAGACACGGCCCAGAACUCUACGGGGGGCAGCAGUAGGGAAUCUUCGGCAAUGGACGGAAGUCUGACCGAGCAACGACGCGUGAGUGAAGAAGGUUUUCGGAUCGUAAAGCUCUGUUGUAAGAGAAGAACGAGUGUGAGAGUGGAAAGUUCACGCUGUGACGGUAUCUUACCAGAAAGGGACGGCUAACUACGUG